GCGACCUCAGGAGGCUUCAGUCUUCGGAUUGAGAAACGGCCCUUCUGUGCCUCAAAGUAUCAUUCUAGUGCGCCAUCGGACAUGCGCGGUAAAACAACGGCUAGAAAUGUACACAAUGUAGGCAAACUGUCAAAGAAAACCAAAUCCAAAGGAAACUAAAACGAGUGGAUGAUUUAACUUGUUAUAAUUUAGAACUGAAAGGAUCCUGUAAACACAGUGUUCUGCAACUGUGGAAGUGGCUGGUAGGAGGGAAGAGUGGAGUGUAUAUCAGAAGAGGGUGACAUCACUGACAAAUGCCCCGCGUCCUCUAAAUCCGAGCAACGAAAAGCCCUUCUCAAUUCCUCCUUGUUCUGCAAGCUGUGGAAGUGGCUGGCAGGAGAGAAGAGUAGAGGAGAGGGUGACGUCACUGACAAAUUCCCCGCCUCCUCUAAACCCCGAGCAACAAAAAACCCUCCUCAAUCCCUCCUGAACUGAGGCAGAUGAGAUCCUUUGAGGGUUGAACCCGGUUGCUCUUAUAAGCAGGAGGAAUCCUAAGGCUCCUGUUUCAAAAACGCACUGUUUAGCACAUUCUUUCAUUCACUGAAUAAUAAGAGACAAACCCUUGAAUCGAAACAGUGCCAAGUUGGAGGACACAAACAUGUUGUGGUGUGCCUAACCACUGAGCCAAGAAUAAAAAGUGUUGUUUUUGUGGAAUGCCAUUUAAAAGAUCCAGCAGAACACUACAAUGUUCAGACAAGACCAGAGAUCACAGGAUUUGGCUAAACUGAUUGUCUUGGCGUUUUUAUCAAAUAGUAAUAUUCUCACUUACAGUGCCUAGAGGUACAAAAUGUUCAGAGUAUAGAGUUGUGGCAGCAAAUAAAGAAGAUUUAGUGCUUUUGUGGUUUUCUAUUCUUGUCAACCAUUCAGAAGAAUCUUGUCAUUUUUGUGUGAAGCAUAUAUGAGUCAAAUUGUUAAACAUCUUACCGUAGGUUUAUGUGCGUGUUAUUUACAUAG